GGUUAAGUUACAAAAAGCACAAGGUGAAUGCCUUGGCAUCAGAUGGCGAUGAAGGACGUGAUAAGCUGCGAUAAGCUUCGGGUAGUGGCAAAUACACAUUAAUCCGAAGAUCUCCGAAUGGGAAAACCCAGCCAGUAUAAAUAACUGGUUACCUGCACCUGAAUACAUAGGGUGUAUGGAGCAAUACUCAGGGAAGUGAAACAUCUCAGUACCUGAAGGAAAAGAAAACAACCGUGAUUCCCCAAGUAGUGGCGAACGAACGGGGAACAGCCCAAACCAACACCUCGGUGUUGGGGUUGCGGGACCACAAUAUGGAAUGCGUUGAUGGAUAGUGUAAGAUUCUGGAAAGUUUCUCCAAAGAGGGUGAAAGGCCCGUGCACGAAAUCUUGAAACCUCCUAGUGAGUUCCCAAGUAGAACGGAACACGUGAAACUCCGUUUGAAUCCGGGAGGCCCACCUCCUAAGGCUAAAUACACGCUGAUGACCGAUAGUGAACAAGUACCGUGAGGGAAAGGUGAAAAGAACCCCUGUUAGGGGAGUGAAAUAGAACCUGAAACCUUGUGCUGACAAAGUGUGAUAGCACCUUUAUGGUGUGGUCGCAUGCCUUUUGCAUAAUGAGUCCGCGAGUCAUUAUAUGUAGCAAGGUUAAGUCCAUUACUGGACGGAGCCGAAGCGAAAGCGAGUCCUAACCGGGCGAGAGUUGCAUGUGAUGAACCCGAAGCUGAGUGAGCUACCCAUGGCCAGGUUGAAACUUCGGUAACACGGAGUGGAGGACCGAACCGGUGUACGUUGAAAAGUGCUCGGAUGAGCUGUGGGUUGGAGCGAAAGACUUACCAAACUCAGUAAUAGCUGGUUCUCUUCGAAAUAGCUUUAGGGCUAGCGUUUGUGAAUACUCGUUCUGGAGGUAGAGCACUGACUGGAAUAUGGGUCCAUCUCGGAUUACUGACGCCAUUCAAACUCCGAAUGCCAGAGCAGCUACACAAGCAGUCACACUGUGGGGGAUAAGCUUCACAGUGGAAAGGGAAACAGCCCAGACCGCCAGAUAAGGUCCCUAAUUUAUACUAAGUGCUUAAGGAUGUGAAUCUUCAUAGACAGCGAGGAUGUUGGCUUAGAAGCAGCCACCAUUUAAACAGUGCGUAAUAGCUGACUCGUCGAGAGGGUUUGCGCCGAAAAUGAACGGGACUCAAGUAUAAAACCGAAUCUGCGGAUGCAUGGCGUAAGCCGUGUGUGGUAGAAGAGCGUUGUGUGCCGGGUUGAAGCGGAAGCGUAAGCGACCGUGGACUGCACACAAGUGAUUAUGCGGACAUUAGUAACGAAAACCAGGUGAGAAUCCUGGUCACCGAAUUCCCAAGGUUUCCCGGGCAAGGAUCGUCCGCCCGGGGUUAGUCGGCUCCUAAGGCGAGGCCGAAAGGCGUAGUCGAUGGAAAACAGGUUCAUAUUCCUGUACCACCGUAUGUGAGUGAUGGAGGAACACAGAAAGUUAGGCGCGCAUCCCGUUAGUAGUGGAUGUUCAAGUACGUAGGCCGUUGGAUAGGAAAAUCCGUUCAAUAAAGCUGAAAUACGAUGAGGUCUGAGUCUUCGGACAAAGGUAGGCGUUGAUACUCUGCUGUCGAGAAAAGCUUCUAAACUUUGAUCAUAUGGUGACCGUACCGUAAACCGACACAGGUAGGAAAGUAGAAUAUACUAAGGUGAGCGAGAGAAACUUCGUUAAGGAACUCGGCAACAUAGCCCCGUAACUUCGGAAGAAGGGGUCCUCUGAAUCGUGAUAUUAAGUUUGAGCGAAUCGGAGGCGCAGUGAAAGGGUCCAGGCGACUGUUUAUCAAAAACAUAGCACUCUGCAAACUCGUAAGAGGAAGUAUAGGGUGUGACACGUGACCAAUGCGGAAAGGUCAAGGCAAGCGGUGAGAGCUGCGAACUGAAGCCCCCGUGAAUGUCGGCCGUAACUAUAACGGUCCUAAGGUAGCGAAAUUCCUUGUCGGGUAAGUUCCGACCUGCACGAAUCGUGUAACGAUCUGGACGCUGUCUCAACGAAGAUCUCGGUGAAAUUGUAAUUCAGGUGAAAAUGCCUGAUACCCGCGACAGGACGGAAAGACCCCAUGAACCUUUACUGUACUCUGAUAUUGGGUUUUGAUAACUCAUGUGUAGCAUAGCUGGGAGACGUUGAAGCUGGAACGCAAGUUCCGGUGGAGUCAUCAGUGAAAUACCAGUCUUGUGUUAUUAGGAUUCUAACCUUAUCCCAUGAAUCUGGGUGAGGAACAGUGUCAGAUGGUCAGUUUGACUGGGGCGGUUUCCUCCCAAAAAGUAACGGAGGAGCUCAAAGGUUCCCUCAGCACGGUCAGCAAUCGUGCGUAGAGCGUAUAGGUAUAAGGGAGCUUGACUGCGAGACCUACAAGUCGAGCAGGUGCGAAAGCAGGACUAAGUGAUCCGGUGGUUUCUCGUGGUAGAGCCAUCGCUCAACGGAUAAAAGGUACUCUGGGGAUAACAGGCUGAUCGCCGCCAAGAGUCCACAUCGACGCGGCGGUUUGGCACCUCGAUGUCGGCUCAUCACAUCCUGGGGCUGGAGAAGGUCCCAAGGGUUGGGCUGUUCGCCCAUUAAAGUGGUACGCGAGCUGGGUUCAGAACGUCGUGAGACAGUUCGGUCCUUAUCCGUCGUGGGCGCAGGAGAAUUGAGAAGAUCAUUCCUCAGUACGAGAGGACCGGGAAUGACGCACCUCUGGUGUUCCAGUUGUCACGCUAGUGGCAUCGCUGGGUAGCUAUGUGCGGAAUGGAUAAGCGCUGAAAGCAUCUAAGCGCCAAGCCGACUUCAAGAUGAGUUCUCCCUUUGUACUUCGGUACAACUAAAGACUGGUCAAAGACUAUGACCUUGAUAGGCUGGGUGUGUAAGCACAGCGAUGUGUUUAGCUAACCAGUACUAAUAAGUCGUGAGGCUUAACCUC
rnacentral:rRNA from 1 species